GACGAACGCUGGCGGCGUGCCUAAUACAUGCAAGUUGAGCGCUGAAGGUUGGUACUUGUACCAACUGGAUGAGCAGCGAACGGGUGAGCAACGCGUGGGGAAUCUGCCUUUGAGCGGGGGACAACAUUUGGAAACGAAUGCUAAUACCGCAUAACAACUUUAAACAUAAGUUUUAAGUUUGAAAGAUGCAAUUGCAUCACUCAAAGAUGAUCCCGCGUUGUAUUAGCUAGUUGGUGAGGUAAAGGCUCACCAAGGCGAUGAUACAUAGCCGACCUGAGAGGGUGAUCGGCCACAUUGGGACUGAGACACGGCCCAAACUCCUACGGGAGGCAGCAGUAGGGAAUCUUCGGCAAUGGACGAAAGUCUGACCGAGCAACGCCGCGUGAGUGAAGAAGGUUUUCGGAUCGUAAAACUCUGUUGGUAGAGAAGAACGUUGGUGAGAGUGGAAAGCUCAUCAAGUGACGGUAACUACCCAGAAAGGGACGGCUAACUACGUG
rnacentral:rRNA from 1 species